UACGGGGGGAGCAAACGUUGUUCGGAAUUACUGGGCGUAAAGCGCACGUAGGCGGAUAUUUAAGUCAGGGGUGAAAUCCCAGAGCUCAACUCUGGAACUGCCUUUGAUACUGGGUAUCUUGAGUAUGGAAGAGGUAAGUGGAAUUGCGAGUGUAGAGGUGAAAUUCGUAGAUAUUCGCAGGAACACCAGUGGCGAAGGCGGCUUACUGGUCCAUUACUGACGCUGAGGUGCGAAAGCGUGGGGAGCAAACAGG
rnacentral:rRNA from 1 species